AGAGAGGUUGAAAGACGGCUUUGCUGUCACUUACAGAUGGGCCCGCGGCGCAUUAGCUAGUUGGUGAGGUAACGGGCUCACCAAGGCCACGAUGCGUAGCCGACCUGAGAGGGUGAUCGGCCACACUGGCUGGGACUGAGACACGGCCCAGACUCCUACGGGAGGCAGCAGUAGGGAAUCUUCCGCAAUGGACGAAAGUCUGACGGAGCAACGCCGCGUGAGUGAAGAAGGUCUUCGGAUCGUAAAACUCUGUUAUCAGGGAAGAACAAGUACCGGAGUUACUGCCGGUACCUUGACGGUACCUGACCAGAAAGCCACGGCUAACUACGUGCCAGCAGAGCCGCGGUAAUACGUAGGUGGCAAGCGUUGUCCGGAAUUAUUGGGCGUAAAGCGCGCGCAGGCGGUUCUUUUAAGUCUGAUGUGAAAUCUUGCGGCUCAACCGUGAGCGGUCAUUGGAAACUCUGGAGAACUUGAGUGCAGAAGAGAAGAGCGGAAUUCCACGUGUAGCGGUGAAAUGCGUAGAGAUGUGGAGGAACCACCAGUGGCGAAGGCGGCUCUUUGGUCUGUAACUGACGCUGAGAGGCGCGAAAGCGUGGGGAGCGAACAGGAUUAGAUACCCUGGUAGUCCACGCCGUAAACGAUGAGUGCUAAGUGUUAGAGGGUUUCCGCCCUUUAGUGCUGCAGCAAACGCAUUAAGCACUCCGCCUGGGGAGUGAGUACGGCCGCAAGGCUGAAACUCAAAGGAAUUGACGGGGGCCCGCACAAGCGGUGGGAGCAUGUGGUUUAAUUCGAAGCAACGCGAAGAACCUUACCCCAGGUCUUGACAUCCUUAUGCCUGCCCUAGAGAUAGGGAGUUCCCUUCGGGGACAUAAGUGACAGGUGGUGCAUGGUUGUCGUCAGCUCGUGUCGUGAGAUGUUGGGUUAAGUCCCGCAACGAGCGCAACCCUUGAAAUUAGUUGCCAGCAUUUAGUUGGG
rnacentral:ncRNA from 2 species